UGGAUCAAGGACACAUCUAAAACCUACAUCACACCAGCCUUUGAAGCCUGGAAGUUGCCCACCCCUGCUCUCUAAACAUUAGUGAGGCUGCUGUUAAUAUUUUUAUUUUUCAGCAUUACAAAGAUUUAGUCUGAUACGAUGGGUUGGACUGAAGAGUUUGAAGUAUAAACUGGCCACAAGCACUCUAAACAAACAUUAAUUUAGAUGUUUCAGGUGUUUCUAAACCUCAAUAUUUGACUUUGGAAAAAGUAAUAAAAGCUCUGAUGUUUAAUUAGACGAUCAUCUGUAAGGAACUGGAGGAAACCAUGGACCACUCCAUUAAACACUCACUCAAGGCAUCAACUUUGAGUGAGAGUCUCCCAGCAUGUUUUAUUUAUUUUUUGUUUUUCAGAUGUUUCAGGGGAUCUUGAAACUGUGCAGCAACAUUACAAUGAAGUUAAGCGCAGUCAAGAGGGAGAAAUGACAUCACAGUAACCAGAUUUGCUCCACACAGUAACAGCAGAAACCUGAUGACCCACUCAACAUCUCUGAGGGAACACUGACCAAAAGCACGAGGUCUCUGGAUAUCACCACAGACAUUUCUGUUGUGUUGCCUGCUGUCUUUGAAUGCUGUGUUUGACUUUUAAUGAAUUUGGUGAAAUGAGAUUUUUCAGUCUUCACUGAGAGAAGCUCCUGGGUUUGAAUCCAGUUUGUGGCCUUUCUGUGUGGACUUUGCUUUUUCUUCCUGUGUCUGUGUGGGUGCUCUCUGUAUACUUCAACUUCUUCCCACAGGCCAAAAACAUGCGUGGGGGUUAGGUUAAUUGGUGUUAUUAGUUUUGUAUUUUGUCAUUCAUUUUUAUUUUUCAUUUCUGUUUAGUUUCAAGACUUAAAAUUUCAAUUUAUUUUUCAUUGUUUGAAAAUGUUUAGUUUUAGUGGGUUUUUAUUACUGUUACGUUCUGAUUUUAUCUACUGUUUUUUUCUUUUAAUCAAUUUUAAAUCAUGCUUUUUUUUUAUUGUUUUUUAAUGUCUCUGUAAAGCACUUAGAUUCACCUUGUUGUUGAAUUGUGCUAUAUAAAUAAACUUGCCUUGCCUUACUGUUAAUUUUUUUUUUUAAUUAUUGUUGUAUUUAGUGGAAAUAUCAGAGACAAAAUUUAGGAAAACCAGUGGAAACAAUAGAAAUGUUUCACUUUUUGAAAACAGUUGACCCACUUGUCUUGUUACAUGUCCAGUGUCUCAAACAUGUCCAUCAAUACCAUGUCAGGCACAUUGUAAUAACAUUUUUACCAAACUAACAAAUACUGAAACUAAAACUAUUUCCUCUGAUUUGUAUUUCAAAUGAGGUCAUUUAAUCAUUUCUGUUGCUUGUUGUUUUUAUUUUGUUUAACUAAAAUAUUCAUAUCUAGUCUUAGUUUUUACUUUAGUUUUAUUUGAGUGGAAUAACCUUAGGAACCUGUUCAGGGUGUACUCUGCCUCUCGCCUGACAACUGGGAAAGGCUCCAGCAACCCCGAAUUGGAUAAGCAGAAGAAAAUGGAUAGAUGAAGAUUUUUAAGCAUGAAUUCCUCCCAGAGUUUUUAAGGUUUUAAUUGUGAGGGUCUAAACCAAAAGGGCAGCACUUUGUGCAAAGAUGUUUUGAUAUAUCUAUUUUCUCCAUUUUGUUGUAUUUGUUCAUUAUUUGUAGACCCUAGUUAUACAGAAAAUUAUACAGCAGUAGAACUACAAUGUUACAGAUUGUUAAUUUUAGUGCUUUAAACCACAGGGAUACUGUGAUAUUCAGAUUCUUCCCAGUUUUCUAUAUAGCACAUGUCUUAUGUAUACCAUUUUACUUACAUUUCUAACCUAAAUAUUAAUUUACUGUAAUACAAUGGUUUCUUUGGUUGUCAUAAGUAAUAAAGCAGCAGCAAAAAUA
ensembl:lncRNA